CGUAGGUGAACCUGCGGAAGGAUCAUUAAAGAGUAAGGGUGCUCAGCGCCCGACCUCCAACCCUUUGUUGUUAAAACUACCUUGUUGCUUUGGCGGGACCGCUCGGUCUCGAGCCGCUGGGGAUUCGUCCCAGGCGAGCGCCCGCCAGAGUUAAACCAAACUCUUGUUAUUUAACCGGUCGUCUGAGUUAAAAUUUUGAAUAAAUCAAAACUUUCAACAACGGAUCUCUUGGUUCUCGCAUCGAUGAAGAACGCAGCGAAAUGCGAUAAGUAAUGUGAAUUGCAGAAUUCAGUGAAUCAUCGAAUCUUUGAACGCACAUUGCGCCCCUUGGUAUUCCGAGGGGCAUGCCUGUUCGAGCGUCAUUACACCACUCAAGCUAUGCUUGGUAUUGGGUGCCGUCCUUAGUUGGGCGCGCCUUAAAGACCUCGGCGAGGCCUCACCGGCUUUAGGCGUAGUAGAAUUUAUUCGAACGUCUGUCAAAGGAGAGGACUUCUGCCGACUGAAACCUUUAUUUUUCUAGGUUGACCUCGGAUCAGGUAGGGAUACCCGCUGAACUUAAGCAUAUCAA
rnacentral:rRNA from 1 species